rnacentral:rRNA from 1 species
UGGGGAAUUUUGGACAAUGGGGGAAACCCUGAUCCAGCCAUCCCGCGUGUGCGAUGAAGGCCUUCGGGUUGUAAAGCACUUUUGGCAGGAAAGAAACGUCGCGGGUUAAUACCCCGCGAAACUGACGGUACCUGCAGAAUAAGCACCGGCUAACUACGUGCCAGCAGCCGCGGUAAUACGUAGGGUGCAAGCGUUAAUCGGAAUUACUGGGCGUAAAGCGUGCGCAGGCGGUUCGGAAAGAAAGAUGUGAAAUCCCAGAGCUUAACUUUGGAACUGCAUUUUUAACUACCGGGCUAGAGUGUGUCAGAGGGAGGUGGAAUUCCGCGUGUAGCAGUGAAAUGCGUAGAUAUGCGGAGGAACACCGAUGGCGAAGGCAGCCUCCUGGGAUAACACUGACGCUCAUGCACG